UCACAAUCUGUGUCCCUCGUCAUACCAUAACUUGUUUAUCGUUUUGUUCAUUAAUCUUCGAGCCUUUUACGCAUAUUCCUUUUUCCGUUUUCUUUUCAAGUUUGAUGAAUAGCGAAAAUCCAACAUUCUCCGACUCACUCAAUCGAAUUCUGUUAAGCUCUCCAACCAAACAGAGCGUAAUUCAAAAAUUGAACAAUUUUGAGAAGGCAAUGAAGUUCAGCAAGUUAUAGUCGAAGAGCGUUACUUGGAACAGUUUACUGACUACUUGCAAAGUUUUGAAGAUGGGAGUUACAGAAAACAGUUCUGACAUGGAGGAAACGCUAAUAGGAAUGGGUAAGUGAUCUUCUAGUGCU